rnacentral:rRNA from 1 species
CCUACGGGUGGCAGCAGUGAGGAAUAGUGGUCAAUGGCCGGAAGGCUGAACCAGCCAUGCCGCGUGAAGGGCAGGGGCCUAGGGGCGUUAAACUUCUUUUGGGCGGGAGCAAGAAUGGUCACGUGUGGCCAGACGAGAGUACCGUACGAAGAAGCAGCGGCUAACCCCGUGCCAGCAGCCGCGGUAAUACGGGGGAUGCAAGCGUUCUCCGGAUUUAUUGGGUUUAAAGGGUGCGUAGGCUGUGCGGUAAGGCAGCGGUGAAAUGCCCCCGCUCAACGGGGGGAAGUGCCAUUGAUACUGCCUUGCUGGACUGCGGCUGCCGUGGGAGGAAUGUCUGGUGUAGCGG